rnacentral:lncRNA from 1 species
CUGAGCUCCUUGGUCUUUUCCCUUCUUCCUCCCUGGAAUAUGUACAUGAUGGCUGGAGUUCCAGCAGUAAUAUUAGACUGUGAAAUGACCUUGGGAAUGGAGUCCUUGUGCCAACGAUGGUGGAGUAGAAAAAUCAGUAUCUGCACUCGCUUUGGCAGCACAUAUACUAAAAUUUGAAUGAUACAAAGAAGAUUAGUGUGGUCCCUGCACAAGGAUGACACACAAAUUUGUGAGCAUUCCACAUUUUUAGGUGAUGUGGAGUACACUUGUGAUGAGCACCGGGUUAUUAAAAUGAAAAAUUUAAAAAAAAAAAAAGAUUUUAACAAUGGUGGCUAGAUAUAUGUCAAUAAAUGUUUAGGGGUGCCUGGGUGGCUCAGUUGAUUGGGUGUCCGACUUCGGCCCAGGUCAUGAUCUCCCGGUUCGUGGGUUCGAGCCCCACAUUGGGCUCUGCGCUGACAGCUCAGAGCCUGGAACCUGCUUUGAAUUCUGUGUCUCCCUCUCUUUCUGCCCCUUCCCUACUCACACUCUGUCUCUCUCUGUCUCUCAAAAAUAAAUAGACAUUGAAAAAAAAUUUUUUUAAUAAAAUAAAUGUUUAUAGUGAUGACUGAAAAAAGAAAAGAAAAAUCAAUAUCUGAGUCCCCAGUGACAGACUGGUAGGCUUCUUUUACAAGAAUGAACAAACUAUAUUAUUAAGCCAUUCUUUGUUUGAGUUUUUGGCCAAUACAUCUGAACUUAAUCCUAACUAGUACUACUCAAGGUAGAUUGAGUAAUUUAUAUUUUGUAAAUUGGGCUAUUUGUGGCUUCGUGAAAUUUGGUGUUUAUUUUCAUUUUAUUCUGUUUUACAGAAAGUCUUUAGAAGUUCUGUUCUUGUUCCAGUUGUACCCAGGAGCACAAGGCAAGAGAAUUUUGCCCAGACAGAGACUGUGCACAGGUACCGUGUGUCUGAAACAACUUACCUCUGCAUUACUGCAUUCCAGAUACCUGCUCCCACCACCCGCCCUGGGCUCUGCUGGGGUCAUCACAUUUGGAACCACAGUGAGUGUGGGAAAUGACUCAACAGCCCGACUUGCUGACUAUUUGGGAUGGACACACAGAGGCAGAGGAAGAAAAAUGUUUCUUAUUGCUUACGUGCCAUCUCAGCAAAGAUUAUCUGCAUGCAUAUUGCUUCAAGUACAGAAGAAAGACCCUAUAAAGUUUCUGUCAAGACUGAGCCUGGGUGGCUCAGCCAGUUAAGCAUCGGACUCUUGAUUUCAGCUCAGGUCAUGAUCUCACGGUUCUGUCCUGAGAGCAUGGAGCCUGCUUGGGAUUCUCUCUCUGCCUCUCUCCCUCUCUCGAAAUAAAUUAAGUAAACUUAAAGAAAAAAAGUUUCUA